rnacentral:lncRNA from 1 species
AUCCUCACAGUGUAACCAUAAGCCCUCCCCUUCUUGCCUUAAUAAUUGCAUAAUAGCCCCAACUGAUAAUUCUGCCUUAGUCAAAGCAGGAUCUCCUUCUAUAGUGGUGAUUGAGCCUUCCUGAGUGAUAGCCAAUUGCAUCUUGCCAAAGUCAGCCUUCACUUCUCCUAAGCUGGCUAGCCAAUCCAAUCCUAGCACCACAUCCACCCC